rnacentral:rRNA from 1 species
GACGAACGCUGGCGGCGUGCUUAACACAUGCAAGUCGAACGGAAAGGCCCUGCUUUUGUGGGGUGCUCGAGUGGCGAACGGGUGAGUAACACGUGAGUAACCUGCCCUUGACUUUGGGAUAACUUCAGGAAACUGGGGCUAAUACCGGAUAGGAGCUCCUGCUGCAUUGUGGGGGUUGGAAAGUUUCGGCGGUUGGGGAUGGACUCGCGGCUUAUCAGCUUGUUGGUGGGGUAGUGGCUUACCAAGGCUUUGACGGGUAGCCGGCCUGUGAGGGUGACCGGCCACAUUGGGACUGAGAUACGGCCCAGACUCCUACGGGAGGCAGAAGUGGGGAAUAUUGCAUAAUGGGCGGAAGCCUGAUGCAGCAACGCCGCGUGCGGGAUGACGUCCUUCGGGUUGUAAACCGCUUUCGCCUGUGACGAAGCGUGAGUGACGGUAAUGGGUAAAGAAGCACCGGCUAACUACGUG